rnacentral:rRNA from 1 species
GCAAGUCGAACGAUGAAGCCUAGCUUGCUGGGUGGAUUAGUGGCGAACGGGUGAGUAACACGUGAGCAACCUGCCCCUGACUCUGGGAUAAGCGCUGGAAACGGCGUCUAAUACUGGAUACGAACAAGAAUCGCAUGGUUACUUGUUGGAAAGAUUUUUUGGUUGGGGAUGGGCUCGCGGCCUAUCAGCUUGUUGGUGAGGUAAUGGCUCACCAAGGCGUCGACGGGUAGCCGGCCUGAGAGGGUGACCGGCCACACUGGGACUGAGACACGGCCCAGACUCCUACGGGAGGCAGCAGUGGGGAAUAUUGCACAAUGGGCGGAAGCCUGAUGCAGCAACGCCGCGUGAGGGAUGACGGCCUUCGGGUUGUAAACCUCUUUUAGCAGGGAAGAAGCGAGAGUGACGGUACCUGCAGAAAAAGCGCCGGCUAACUACGUGCCAGCAGCCGCGGUAAUACGUAGGGCGCAAGCGUUAUCCGGAAUUAUUGGGCGUAAAGAGCUCGUAGGCGGUUUGUCGCGUCUGCUGUGAAAUCCCGAGGCUCAACCUCGGGCCUGCAGUGGGUACGGGCAGACUAGAGUGCGGUAGGGGAGAUUGGAAUUCCUGGUGUAGCGGUGGAAUGCGCAGAUAUCAGGAGGAACACCGAUGGCGAAGGCAGAUCUCUGGGCCGUAACUGACGCUGAGGAGCG